rnacentral:lncRNA from 1 species
UAGGACUCGGUAGAGCACAUGGGCCUGUGUCCACCUGGGCCCAGCUUGAGGAACUCAUGGACUGGUGCAGAGCCUAGGACUGGACAGCAGGAAAUUUGCUUUCUCCUCAGAAACUGGUUGCCUGACUGUGGAGUUGCGGACAGAGUCUGGGGCCUCCUGCGUGCUGGACAAGUGCUCCACAGCACUCCUGUGCCCUACCCCAAGCUCCCU